AUUGAACGCUGGCGGCAGGCCUAAUACAUGCAAGUCGAACGAGUGGCGGACGGGCGAGUAAUGUCUGGGAAACUGCCUGACGGAGGGGGAUAACUACUGGAAACGGUAGCUAAUACUGCAUACCAUCGAAUGUGCCCAGAUGGGAUUAGCUAGUCGGUGGGGGAAAGGCUCACCUAGGCGAAGCUCCAUAGCUGGUCUGAGAGGAUGACCAGCCACACUGGAACUGAGACACGGUCCAGACUCCUACGGGAGGCAGCAGUGGGGAAUAUUGCACAAUGGGCGCAAGCCUGAUGCAGCCAUGCCGCGUGUAUGAAGAAGGCCUUCGGGUUGUAAAGUACUGUCAGCGGGGAGGCGUUACCCGCAGAAGAAGCACCGGCUAACUCCGUGCCAGCAGCCGCGGUAAUUC
rnacentral:rRNA from 1 species